rnacentral:lncRNA from 1 species
AGACAUAACCUUGCCAUAAGCAGCAAAGGGCUUGGUGAACCCUCAAAAAGGCUGUCAAACACCCAGAGGCCUUGGGGAUCAGGAAGGAGCUAUCAUGUGGUCUUUCAUGUCCUGUAGAACAUAGCUGCGCCUGGAAUUGAAUGAUCGUGUUUUCCGUGCAGAGCUAUCUGCCUUUGGACAGGAGGAGAACUCUCAGCACCAUUCCCUUUCCACGGGAGCUUCUUUUUUCUCAUUCUUUUUCUUGCCUCCCUCAACUCCCAUCCUCUGUUCUGGGAGAAGGUGAAGCUGGCCUGACAGGCCUGAGGGAAGCCGGACGGAGGCACACUUGCCAGCUUUUAGUUGAGGGAGGCACCGCAGCAAGGCUCUCCAGUCCCUCCUUCCCUGGGAGCACCAGCUCUGAUUCUAGUGGGCAGCUGCAGCUAAGACGAAGACAAAUGAAUCCAGAGACUUCUCUCGAGCUAUGAGCCUGAGCCAAAGGCACAGCCCAGCUGUCCAGAGAGCUUUGUGACAGAACAUGGGGGGCCAGCUGACAGGAACCGAGGCACUUUUAAAUUUAGCACUUGUCCUCGCCCUUUCGGUUCACGAUUUCUUGGAAGUUUCAUUUGGAAAAAGAGGUGAGGGACAGAAGUAGAAGUUGGGAAUUCUAGAUCCCUUGAUUCUAGAAUAUUCUAAGAUCUUCCAAACUAACCCUGAUUCCUAAAAACAGAAUAGGACAAUCUUGUUUUCGGUAUUGAGAAUAGCAAAUAUAGAAAUCCCUUAAUUCUUUGACUUAGCUUAGCAGGUGCAAUUAGUUCUAUCCCUAAGCCUUCUUACCAGAAAAUUUUCUAGUGUAAAAUGAUUGGAUGGGAUACCAAUUGGGAUGGGUGUGGUAAUAGUAAAACCAUAUUCUUUAAUAACUUUUUCUUAUUUGUUUUCCUGGAAUUUUGGUUGGCAUUUUUUAAUGAAUUACAUGCUUAUUUUUAAAAAUUAUUAUGAUGGAGAAUUUUUGUUAGGCAGAAUUUCAAAUCUGUCAUCUGCUGUUGACUCUUACUUUCACUACAAAUUUACGAAGGUAGAGAGACCCAGUUCUUACUUAAGUUAUAUCUAACAUAAAAAUACAAUUCUGUCCCAAUCUGUUCAUUUAAAGGGUAAAUUUAUAGCAUCUGUUCAACUUUAUAUGCUAUCUCAAAAUUGUCAACAUUUUAAGCAAGGUGCUACCUAAUUUUAAUGGGUGCACAAGAGGGAAAAGUGGGUCAUUGACUUCAAAGGCGAAACUAUAAGCUAUUAAUGGGCUACGUUGUGCUGAAUUACAAUCUCUUUUCUUGUUUCAAGUUAAAAUUUUUAAGUGGCCACAUGUUUGGCAUUGUAAUUGAUACCACAAUGCUGCUGUUCCUUGACUCAUUCAUUCUCAAAUGUAUAUAUAUAUAUAUUCUUAGUUCACAAAUUUCUAUUUCUUUUACACAAGUUGCUAUUUCUUGUAGUGUUCAUGAACUGGGUAUGCUGUCCUUUGUAAUGAAAGACUACAGACUGCCAUGAAUAGUACCUUGGCUUCUUUUUUUACAGUGUGGAAUGAGAGCAUUUAUUAUUGUUGCAUUAUUGUAUUUUUGAAUAAAAAUCCCUAUUCCCACUGUACCAAAUCAAAUGAGCUUGUGUUGAAUUUUAUUCAUCAGAAUUGUGGUUAAUGCAGUCCUCAGCUAUGGCACUAGUUAGGGCCUGCCCAGGACUGCUGAAGAGCUGGCUUUGUGAUUUACCUGGCUCAGUAUGUGAUCAAGCAUCUCCAUUAUUGGAAUAAAAUAAAAACUUUCAAGAUCAUGGUUGUGCAAUAGAGAAAACAAUUUUACCUCUGCACUAACAC